GGGGGGGGGGGGGGGGGGGGGGGGCGCGGGCGGGGCGGACGGAGGCUGCGGAGUUGGUGGCGGGCGGGGGAGGAACGCGGGAGGAGCUGGGUUUGGGGUCGGGACAACCACUGGAAACGGGGGCUAAUACCGGAUGUGCCGAGAGGUAAAAGAGAAAUUGCCUGAAGAUGAGCUCGCGUCUGAUUAGCUAGUUGGUGAGGUAAAGGCUCACCAAGGCAGCGAUCAGUAGCUGGUCUGAGAGGAUGACCAGCCACACUGGGACUGAGACACGGCCCAGACUCCUACGGGAGGCAGCAGUGGGGAAUUUUCCGCAAUGGGCGAAAGCCUGACGGAGCAAUACCGCGUGAGGGAAGAAGGCUCUUGGGUUGUAAACCUCUUUUCUUAGGGAAGAACAAAAUGACGGUACCUAAGGAAUCAGCAUCGGCUAACUCCGUG
rnacentral:rRNA from 1 species